rnacentral:rRNA from 1 species
GACGAACGCUGGCGGCGUGCUUAACACAUGCAAGUCGAACGGAAAGACCCUGCUUUUGUGGGGUGCUCGAGUGGCGAACGGGUGAGUAACACGUGAGUAACCUGCCCUUGACUUUGGGAUAACUUCAGGAAACUGGGGCUAAUAUCGGAUAGGAGCUCCUGCUGCAUGGUGGGGGUUGGAAAGUUUCGGCGGUUGGGGAUGGACUCGCGGCUUAUCAGCUUGUUGGUGGGGUAGUGGCUUACCAAGGCUUUGACGGGUAGCCGGCCUGAGAGGGUGACCGGCCACAUUGGGACUGAGAUACGGCCCAGACUCCUACGGGAGGCAGCAGUGGGGAAUAUUGCACAAUGGGCGGAAGCCUGAUGCAGCAACGCCGCGUGCGGGAUGACGGCCUUCGGGUUGUAAACCGCUUUCGCCUGUGACGAAGCGUGAGUGACGGUAAUGGGUAAAGAAGCACCGGCUAACUACGUG